CUGAGGUGGAGGCUAUGAAACAUGUCCAAGCCUUGACUCAAUUGGGCCCUCACCCUGUUGGGUCUGAUGCUAUUGACCUUGCUUUGCAGUAUGUUUUGGCAGCAGCAGAAAAUAUUAAGAAAACAGCCCAUUGGGAGGUUGAUGUUCAAGUGGAGCUUUUCCAUGCAAAAACUGGCGCAAAUCGUCUGGUCAGUGGCCUCUUUAAGGGGAAAACACUUGUUUAUUCAGAUCUGAACCACAUCAUUCUAAGAAUCUUGCCAAAAUAUGCAUCUGAGGCAGAAGAAAAUGCUAUUCUCGUCUCUUCUCACAUUGAUACUGUAUUCUCAACGGAAGGUGCUG
rnacentral:misc_RNA from 1 species